AGGUCUCAGUUCAGAUUGCAGGCUGCAACCCGCCUGCAUGAAGUCGGAAUUGCUAGUAAUCGCGGAUCAGCAUGCCGCGGUGAAUACGUUCCCGGGCCUUGUACACACCGCCCGUCACACCAUGGGAGCCGGUAAUACCCGAAGUCAGUAGUCCAACCACGUGAGGACGCUGCCGAAGGUAGGAUUGGCGACUGGGGUGAAGUCGUAACAAGGUAAC
rnacentral:rRNA from 1 species